rnacentral:rRNA from 1 species
CGGUUAGCUGGUCUGAGAGGAUGAUCAGCCACACUGGGAACUGAGACACGGUCCCAGACUCCUACGGGAGGCAGCAGUGGGGAAUAUUGGACAAUGGGCGCAAGCCUGAUCCAGCCACGCCGCGUGAGUGAUGAAGGCCUUCGGGUCGUAAAGCUCUGUGGGGAGGGACGAACGUCCCGUUGAAGAAACGGGGGUGACGGUACCUCCUUAGCAAGCACCGGCUAACUUCGUGCCAGCAGCCGCGGUAA